ACGAACGCUGACGGCGUCGCCUAACACAUGCAAGUCGAGCGAAGGGAAAGCGGCUUCGGCCGCAAGUAAAGCGGCGCACGGAUGAGUAACACGUAGAUAAUCUUCCGUCGGGAUCGGGAUAAACCUGCCGAAAGGCGGACUAAUACCGGAUAACAUCCUUGAAUCUUCGGGUUUGGGGAUAAAAAGGCAGCUUGAGAAAGGUUGCGUCUGACGAUGAGUCUGCGGCCCAUCAGGUAGUUGGCGGGGUAACGGCCCACCAAGCCUAGGACGGGUAGCUGAUCUGAGAAGAUGAUCAGCCACACUGGAACUGAGACACGGUCCAGACUCCUACGGGAGACAGCAGUGGGGAAUUUUGGACAAUGGGCGCAAGCCUGAUCCAACAACGCCGCGUGGGUGAUGAAGGCCUUCGGGUUGUAAAGCCCUGUCGGGAGGGACGAAUAAACGGCGUAACGAACCGGAUUGACGGUACCUCCAAAGGAAGCACCGGCUAACUCUGUGCCAGCAACCGCGGUAAUACAGAGGGUGCAAACGUUGUUCGGAAUUACUGAGCGUAAAAACGCGUGUAGACGGCAUGGUAAAUCUCGUGUGAAAGCCCUGGGCUCAACCCAGGAAGUGCGCGAGAUACUACCGUGCUUGAGUGAUGGAGAGGAUGGCGGAAUUCCCGGUGUAGAGGUGAAAUUCGUAGAUAUCGGGAAGAACACCUGUGGCGAAAGCGGCCAUCUAGACAUUGACUAACGCUGAGACGCGAAAAGCGUGGGUAGCAAACAGGAUUAGAUACCCUGGUAGUCCACGCUAUAAAACGAUGGAUGCUAGAUGUCGCGGGUAUUGACCCCUGCGGUGUCGACGCUAACGCAUUAAGCAUCCCGCCUGAAGAGUACGGCCGCAAGGUUAAAACUCAAAGGAAUUGACGAGAGCCCGCACAAACGAUGGUGCAUGUGGUUUAUUAAUUCGACGCAACGCGCAGAAACCUUACCUGGGUUCGAACGACACUGGAAUCUUACAGAGAUGUAGGAGCCCGCAAAAACUAAUGUCGAAAUGCUGCAUGGCUGUCGUCAGCUCGUGUCGUGAGAUGUUGGGUUUAAGUCCCCGCAACGAGCGCAACCCCUAUCGUCAGUUGCUAAACAGGUCAAGCUGAGCACUCAGGCGAGACUGCCGGUGUCAAACCGGAGGAAGGCGGGGAUGACGUCAAGUCCUCAUGGCCCUUAUGCCCAGGGCUACACACGUGCAACAAUGGACGAUACAGAGCGCUGCGAACUCGCGAGAGAGAGCCAAUCGCAAAAAAAUCGUCCCCAGUUUCAGAUCGUAGUCUGCAACUCGACUGCGUGAAGACGGAAUCGCUAGUAAUCGAAGAUCAGCACGCUUCGGUGAAUACGUUCCCGAACCUUGUACACACCGCCCGUCACACCAUGGGAGUCAAAUGCUCCAGAAGUGGCCGUGCCAACCGCAAGGAGGCAGAUCCCCAAGGAGUGUUUGGUGACUGGGGUG
rnacentral:rRNA from 1 species